UACGGGGGGGGCAAGCGUUGUUCGGAAUUACUGGGCGUAAAGGGCCCGUAGGCGGCCAACUAAGUCCGACGUGAAAUCCCAAGGCUUAACCUGGGAACUGCAUCCGAUACUGGAUGGCUUGAAUUCGGGAGAGGGAUGCAGAAUUCCAGGUGUAGCGGUGAAAUGCGUAGAUAUCUGGAGGAAUACCGGUGGCGAAGGCGGCAUCCUGGACCGAGAUUGACGCUGAUGAGCGAAAGCUAGGGGAGCAAACGGG
rnacentral:rRNA from 1 species